rnacentral:rRNA from 1 species
UACGAAGGGGGCUAGCGUUGCUCGGAAUUACUGGGCGUAAAGGGCGCGUAGGCGGCACUGUUAGUCAGGCGUGAAAGUCCUGGGCUCAACCUGGGAACUGCGCUUGAUACGGCAGAGCUAGAGGAUGGAAGAGGGUCGCGGAAUUCCCAGUGUAGAGGUGAAAUUCGUAGAUAUUGGGAAGAACACCGGUGGCGAAGGCGACGCUCUGGUCCAUUACUGACGCUGAGGUGCGAAAGCCAGGGGAGCAAACGGG